CUCCCUUCUCUGGGUAAAUAUUAACACAUAAAACCCCUAUAAAGCGCUGCUCACAUGGACACAGCAACAACCCUUCAACAGAGCACAUCAGUCAGCCAUCUACAAUCUACAGGACAAUAACCAGCCAUCUACAAUCUAGAGGACAUCAGUCAGCCAUCUACAAUCUAGAGGACAUCAGUCAGCCUUCUACAAUCUAGAAGACAUCAGUCAGCCAUCUACAAUCUCUCUGUGUGUGUGUAGCUAUGAGGGGAAUUGUCCUUCUCUUUCUGCUGUAUCUCUGGCCUGGAGGAAAGGUGGAUGCUAUCGAUCAAGAGGUCUUGGCUAAUGUGGUACAAGAGAUGAGAAGGUUCGGCCUGGAGAACCGCCAGUAUGCCAUGGCUGUCUUACUCACAGAACAGCAGUGCACCCAAAAUGGAGCAGAGUUUGAAGUGGGCGUGCAACCUCAUGGUUGUCAAACAGAAACUACAGCAGAAUAGUGUCUACAUAGGAGACCGGCUCAUCGCAGCCACACCUAACACCUACCAUGCUGAGUACAUUCUCUUGGAGCAUGAUGAAACCAAACCCAGCAAAAUGCAGACUCUGUUAACAGCAGCAAUACCUACUGACUGCAUUGUCUUCUUCUCCAACUACUCUCCCUGCCUGGAGAGAUGCAACAUCCUUAAUGAUGUAGCAACCAGCAUUCUGCCCUUCAUGACCGUCUUCAACGGCAUGGAACGACAUCCAGAAGGCCUUUGUCUUCUCCUCGGUUUGGGACCCUUCAAGGCACCAUCCAGAAGUGACCAAACCGACUAGGCAGCAGGUGUUUGAGUCCUUCCAGAGAAUAGAAAGAUACCUCCCUUUAUAUCGUUGUGUCAGAUUCCAGAAAAAACGUGAAUGGGUCAACACAUGUUACCGUUGUGACACUGACAACACAGAUCAUGACACCAAUGUAUGUCUGUAUGCAUACCAAUAGUGUCCACUGUCUGUAUGGAUACUAAUAGUGUCCACUGUCAAAAUGGUGGAAAUAUAGAACUGUAUAUUGUCCAUGUCUCUCUUUGUCCACCCCUCUCUCUCUGUCCACCUCUCUCGCUCUCUCUCUCUGUCCAUCUCUCUCGCUCUCGCUCUCUCUCUGUCCAUCUCUCUCGCUCUCGCUCUCUCUCUCUGUCCAUCUCUCUCGCUCUCGCCCUCUCUCUCUGUCCAUCUCUCUCUCUCUCUCUCCUCUCUCUCUGUCCAUCUCUCUCGCUCUCUCUCUCUCUGUCCAUCUCUCUCUCUCUCUCUCUCUCUCUCUCUCUCUGUCCAUCUCUCUCUCUGUCCAUCUCUCUCUCUCUCUCUGUCCAUCUCUCUCUCUC